rnacentral:rRNA from 1 species
GAUGAACGCUGGCGGCGUGCCUAAUACAUGCAAGUCGAGCGAACAGACGAGGAGCUUGCUCCUCUGACGUUAGCGGCGGACGGGUGAGUAACACGUGGAUAACCUACCUAUAAGACUGGGAUAACUUCGGGAAACCGGAGCUAAUACCGGAUAAUAUAUUGAACCGCAUGGUUCAAUAGUGAAAGACGGUUUUGCUGUCACUUAUAGAUGGAUCCGCGCCGCAUUAGCUAGUUGGUAAGGUAACGGCUUACCAAGGGAACGAUGCGUAGCCGACGUGAGAGGGUGAUCGGCCACACUGGAACUGAGACACGGUCCAGACUCCUACGGGAGGCAGCAGUAGGGAAUCUUCGGCAAUGGGCGAAAGUUUGACGGAGCAACGCCGCGUGAGAGAUGAAGGUCUUCGGAUCGUAAAACUCUGUUAUUAGGGAAGAACAAAUGUGUAAGUAACUAUGCACGUCGUGACGGUACCUAAUCAGAAAGCCACGGCUAACUACGUG